CUACGGAGGGGGCUAGCGUUGUUCGGAAUUACUGGGCGUAAAGCGUACGUAGGCGGACUGAUCAGUUGGGGGUGAAAUCCCAGGGCUUAACCCUGGAACUGCCUUCAAUACUGUCAGUCUUGAGUUUGGGAGAGGUGAGUGGAAUUCCUAGUGUAGAGGUGAAAUUCAUAGAUAUUAGGAGGAACACCAGUGGCGAAGGCGGCUCACUGGCCCAUUACUGACGCUGAGGUACGAAAGCGUGGGGAGCAAACAGGAUUAGAUACCCUAGUAGUCC
rnacentral:rRNA from 1 species